GCUUGUCUCAAAGAUUAAGCCAUGCAUGUCUUAGUGUAAAUAACUCUUAUGAAACUGCGAAUGGCUCAUUAAAUCAGUUAUCGUUUAUUUGAUGGUCCCUUACUACAUGGAUAACCGUAGUAAUUCUAGAGCUAAUACAUGCACAAAGGCCCGACUCACGGAGGGCUGUAUUUAUUAGAUGGAAACCAAUGCGGGGCAACCCGGAUUCUGGUGAUUCAUAAUAAUUAUCGGAUCGAUCGUAUGAUCGAUGCAUCAUUCAAGUUUCUGCCCUAUCAGCUUUGGAUGGUAGGGUAUUGGCCUACCAUGGCAUUAACGGGUAACGGAGAAUUAGGGUUCGAUUCCGGAGAGGGAGCCUGAGAAAUGGCUACCACAUCCAAGG
rnacentral:rRNA from 1 species